CGCCUGUGUGCGCGGAACCGAGCGGGAGGCGCUCCCCGCGCUGGCGGCCGCGUGAAGGCAGGCUACCGCCGGGGCCGCCCGCGAGCCGCCAUCGGCCCGCCCCCGAGGCGCCUUCAACGCGCCAGGGCGGCAGCUCGGCGCUCGGGUCCCCGGCCGUCCCCAGCCCGCGCCGCGCACGCGCACAGCCGCCCUCGCUGCCGCCCGCGCAAGGCCGCCGCGCAAGGGCGAUCCCGGGGACAGGGCGACGCUGCGCCACGGAAGCCCCUCCUCAGCUUCCGCCGGCGGCGCCGGGAUCUGACGGCUUCCCUCAGAGGGAAAAGAGGUGGAACGCGUGAUUUUGGAUUAGUGACCCCUGGGCCCCCUUCCCCAGCGCCUCCCGAGCCGGAGCCCGUUCUCGGCGGACGACCCCCAGGACUCCAGCUGAGCCCCUCCUCACAGUCCACCGAUGCGAGGUCUGAGGGGAGCCUUCGAGUCACUGCUCCCUCGGUCAAACGGGAGGAUUCCUCCACCGCCUUCAGCCCUUGAGCACGCGACGUUCAUUCCCGAAAUACGGGAGUGCCCUCCCUCGCGGUUCGCGUUUCACUGUCGGUUGCGCCCGCCGGGCACCGUCCGUCUGUCCAGCGGAUCCGCGCUGUGCGGGCUACCUGCCCGUUAGUCACUUAGCAGCGGUCUUGGUUGUUAGGUGGACUGUCGAGGGAUGGCAGUGCUCGUGUCCAAGUAACUUUUAUUUUGCUCAAUAAUGGCCCCAAAGUGCGAAAGUAGUGAUGCUGGCAAUUCGGAGAUGCCAAAGAGAAGCCCUAAAGUGCUUCCUUUGAGUUAAACCGUGUGGAAGUUCUCGACUUAAUAAGGAAAGAAAAAAAAUCAUUCGCUGAGGUUGCUCAGAUCUCUGACUGGCCCUGAGCUAACAUCCAUGACCAUCUUCCUCCACUUUAUAUGUGGGAUGCCUACCACAGCAUGGCUUGCCAAGCGGUACGAUGUCCACACCCGGGAUCCGAACCAGCGAACCCUGGGAUGCUGAGAAGCGGAAGGACGUGACUGUGUUUUGAAAGUAUUUCUGUCCUCUGCUGCUUAUUUGGAAGAGAGCGGCUUCCAUUCCUGUCCGGUUUUUGGAGAGGGAUUUUAGCAAUUCCUUCGUAUGGAUGAUCUUCAGCUCCCCAGUCUGUUCCACGAUGGAGAAGAACUUGUGGCACAAGCCUGAGUCCCAGUUUUAUUGCCAAUCUGUCGGGUGACCUUGGACAAGUCACUGCCUUCCUUUGACAGCUAAUCUCACCAGCCUCGUAUUAUAUCUCUGAAAAUGGAAAGCAUGAAUGUUUUGGCCAGUAGUCUGAGCAAAGUCUUUCUAAGUACAAACUGAACAGGAUCAGAGAGUUAAGGAGGCACGUGCUAGCGGAGGUUAGUGAGUCAACAGAAAAAUAUUACCAUAUUGGCUGUACAUCUGCCUAUGUUUAAACCUUCAUCUGAGAAAGGAGUGAAGUGUUGGAAAGUAUUUAAAAUCAGCAAAGAUGGGAAAUGAGAUAACAGCCUAGGACCUUCGGGACAGGACAUACCACUGCUGGCCCCCCUCAGGACAGCUGCUCUGACAGCCGUGCCCUCCAGAAUAUUCCGUGGGCCUCAGCCUGGCAGCAUGGUCCCUGACUGUGCCUGGUACCCAAUAAGGACUCUGUAAAUAUUUGGGAAGUGAGUGGACAAGUGAUUGUCCCUGGUUUGGGCUAGUGCCAUUUAGAGGGCAUCCAGAGUGCAGGGGAGGGAGGGGCUUGGGCAAGAGGGACAUUGCUGCUGCCGGUUGAUGGUGACAGUGACACUGAAUGAGAGCCCAAUCGUUUGGGAAGCCCCAUGCUUAAGUCUUGCAGUGACAUGCCAACCAAUGAUGGAAUGCCUAUUUCGAUAGCGUGGAGGGAGACACGAACUCAAAGAGGCAACCAGACGGAUGGAAGGGACUCAGCCUCUGCAGGUCGGUCUGGACAAGACCAGAGACUCAUAUUCAAGACAGCCUGUAAACCGAGAGCCAAUGAAAAGUCUGCUUCCGCCUCUCUUUCUUCCAUUGGACCCUCUUGGGCUCCCCUUUUAUGUGUUCAUUUCCUUUGAAGUAGCUCUGUGUUCAUUUUUAAAAGAUUAAAAUAGAGCAAAACUGACUUUUGCAGGGGUAUACAGCUCUAUGGCUUUUAACGUACAUAUAGAAUCAUGUAGCUACCCCUACAAUCGUUCAUAAAUUCAGAGAACUCUCUCAUGCUGUGCUUCUGUAGUCACAUUUUCCCCAUGUCCCUAACCGCCGGCAGCCACUGAUCUUGUCUCUAUCACUAUGAUUGUGUCUUUUUGAGAAUGUCAUAUAAAUGAAAUCAUACAGGAUGUAACCCACUGAAGCUAGCUUUUCUCACUCAGCAUAAUGCCUUCGAGAGUCAUCCAAGCUAUUGGGUGUAUCAUUACUUCUUUAUUAGUACUUUUAUUCCUGAGUAGCAUUCUAUUGUAUGAAUUUACCACUUCUAUUUAUCCAUUUACCCAGAAGGACAUUGUUUCCAGUUUUUGGUGAUUAUGAAUGGAGCUACAUUAAAUAUUUAUGUACAAGCUUUGUGUGACUGUAAGUUUUCACUUCUCUUGGCUGAAUACCUAGGAAUGGGAUUGCUAAGUCAUGUGAUAAGUGUAUGUUUAACUUUAUAGGAAACUGCCAAACUGUUUUCACCAUUUCAAAUUGCCACCAGCAGAGUAUGACAGUACCUGUUGCUUUGCAUUUUUGUCAACACUUGAUAUUGUCAGCAGUUUUUAUUGAGCCAUUCUAAUAGACCAUGUGUACGUUAAGGGAUCGCUCCUGCUGGCUGCACACAACAUCAGGACUUCACCUUCUGGCUGACUUGAUAAUAAACUCAGGUAAGGAUGAUGGCUCUAUGACUACCUGCGACAGGCCCAUUCACACGUUUCCCCUCCUCUUACAGGAUGUCUUCAAUUGAGAGGAUGCUAUAGAAGAGAAAAGAUCAGGUAUCUUGAGAAACUGAAAGGAAUGUGGGGGUGGUGUGAGGGAAAAAGAGAAACUUUUCAGGCUAGUUGGAUUCUGGAAAUUCCAGUUCCUCCCACUUAUUCACACUAGGACCCCAAGCUGUCAAGGGAAGAAGAGGGAGGAGAGCGAGACAGAAACUAUGGCGAAAAUGUAACGUGGAAAAGUAGAACUGCUCAUGUAUCCCUGACACUCCACACAAAGUAGAAGCCAAGCCAAGUCGCCUGAGGAUUUAGCGGAAGUGAAAUGAGGCAUCUUUGACAGACCCGAAGACGAUCCGCAGAUCUCCUCAUCUCUAGAGCCACUGGUAGACUUCUAGCUCUAGACCUGAAUUGUUUUGUCUCAGUUGACAAGCAAAACAUAGUGAGAGGUUAGUCAUUUUUCCCCUCUUUGAGUUCCUCUUAUAUAUUUAAAGUGACUACUUUACUUAUCAGACAAAAAUUUAAUGGCUAAAACAAGAUUUAAGAAGUAAC
rnacentral:lncRNA from 1 species